UACAUGGGGUGCAAACGUUGCUCGGAAUUAUUGGGCGUAAAGCGCGCGUAGGCGGUUACUUAAGUCGGAUGUGAAAGCCCUCGGCUUAACUGAGGAAGUGCACCCGAAACUGAGUAGCUAGAGUACGAAAGAGGGUCGCGGAAUUCCCGGUGUAGAGGUGAAAUUCGUAGAUAUCGGGAGGAGCACCGGUGGCGAAGGCGGCGACCUGGGUCGAGACUGACGCUGAGGCGCGAAAGCGUGGGGAGCAAACAGG
rnacentral:rRNA from 1 species